rnacentral:rRNA from 1 species
UACGGGGGGGGGCAAGCGUUGUUCGGAAUUACUGGGCGUAAAGGGUUCGUAGGUGGCUUGCUAAGUCAGACGUGAAAUCCCUCAGCUUAACUGGGGAACUGCGUCUGAUACUGGCGAGCUUGAGUGCAGGAGAGGAACGCGGAAUUCCAGGUGUAGCGGUGAAAUGCGUAGAUAUCUGGAGGAACACCGAUGGCGAAGGCAGGUCUCUGGGCCGAUACUGACGCUGAGGAGCGAAAGCGUGGGGAGCGAACAGG